CACCGCGGUUAAACGGGAGGCCCAAGUUGACAGAAAUCGGCGUAAAGGGUGGUUAAUGAAUACUAAACUAAGGCCGAACACCUUCAGGGCUGUCGCACGCAUCUGAAGGCAGGAAGACCCCCAACGAAAGUGGCUUUAACAAACAUGAAUCCACGAAAGCUAGGAAA
rnacentral:rRNA from 1 species